rnacentral:rRNA from 1 species
UAGAGUUUGAUCAUGGCUCAGGAUGAACGCUGGCGGCGUGCUUAACACAUGCAAGUCGAACGAACCUUCGGGUUAGUGGCGGACGUGUGAGUAACGCGUGGGAAUCUGCCCUCAGGAGGGGGAUAACGGUUGGAAACGACCGCUAAUACCCCAUAUGCCGAGAGGUGAAAUGAAUUUCGCCUGAGGAUGAGCCCGCGUCUGAUUAGCUUGUUGGUGAGGUAAUGGCUCACCAAGGCAUCGAUCAGUAGCUGGUCUGAGAGGAUGAUCAGCCACACUGGGACUGAGACACGGCCCAGACUCCUACGGGAGGCAGCAGUGGGGAAUUUUCCGCAAUGGGCGAAAGCCUGACGGAGCAACGCCGCGUGAGGGACGAAGGCCUCUGGGCUGUAAACCUCUUUUCUCAAGGAAGAAGAUAUGAUGGUACUUGAGGAAUAAGCCACGGCUAAUUCCGUGCCAGCAGCCGCGGUAAUACGGGAGUGGCAAGCGUUAUCCGGAAUUAUUGGGCGUAAAGCGUCCGCAGGCGGCCCUUCAAGUCUGCUGUUAAAACGUGGAGCUUAACUCCAUCAUGGCAGUGGAAACUGAUUGGCUUGAGUAUGGUAGGGGCAGAGGGAAUUCCCGGUGUAGCGGUGAAAUGCGUAGAUACCGGGAAGAACACCAGUGGCGAAGGCGCUCUGCUGGGCCAUUACUGACGCUCAUGGACGAAAGCCAGGGGAGCGAAAGGGAUUAGAUACCCCUGUAGUCCUGGCCGUAAACGAUGAACACUAGGUGUCGGGGGAAUCGACCCCUUCGGUGUCGUAGCUAACGCGUUAAGUGUUCCGCCUGGGGAGUACGCACGCAAGUGUGAAACUCAAAGGAAUUGACGGGGGCCCGCACAAGCGGUGGAGUAUGUGGUUUAAUUCGAUGCAACGCGAAGAACCUUACCAGGGCUUGACAUCCUGCGAACCUUUAAGAAAUUAGAGGGUGCCUUCGGGAACGCAGUGACAGGCGGUGCAUGGCUGUCGUCAGCUCGUGUCGUGAGAUGUUGGGUUAAGUCCCGCAACGAGCGCAACCCACGUUUUUAGUUGCCAGCAUUUAGUUGGGCACUCUAGAAAGACCGCCGGUGAUAAACCGGAGGAAGGUGUGGAUGACGUCAAGUCAUCAUGCCCCUUACGUCCUGGGCUACACACGUACUACAAUGCUACGGACAAAGGGCAGCAAACUCGCGAGAGCUAGCAAAUCCCAUAAACCGUGGCUCAGUUCAGAUCGUAGGCUGCAACUCGCCUACGUGAAGUAGGAAUCGCUAGUAAUCGCAGGUCAGCAUACUGCGGUGAAUACGUUCCCGGGCCUUGUACACACCGCCCGUCACACCAUGGAAGUUGGCCAUGCCCGAAGUCGUUACUUUAACCCUUGUGGAGAAGGACGCCGAAGGUGGGGCUGAUGACUGGGGUGAAGUCGUAACAAGGUAACC